GUAAUAUUGCUAGUAAUCUUUUAAUGUAAAUAGGUAAAGGAAUUAUCCAAUGAUAACCAAAAAACAAAGGAUUUAUAAUCCAGUAGUAAAGCAGUCUCGGCCUGAUUUUUCAUCUUAUACUCAAGGUAUCAGUUCUUUGCCCAUGAGCAUUUCAGCCCUAAGGAUAAUGUCUCUCACUGGUAUGCCAACUCAGAGAAAAUUCUCUAAGAAUUAAGGAAUUAAAAACAUAGCGUCACAGAAAGUUUUUCAGCAAUAGUUAAAAAGCUAAUUUACACCACAAAGGGAAAUUAUGAGAGAUGACUUAGAAGAAGAUAGCUUCAGAAGAUAAUUUAAGCCAUAAGUCUUUCUUUCAUUGUAUUUCUGUAUUUCUUUCUUGGUCUAUGGCUAUCUUUCUCUCUCUCUUUCUUUCUUCUUCUCUUUCUCUUUUUUCUGCCUUUAUAGUUUUAGCGAGCCAUAGUAUAAACUAAAAGAUUCAAUUGCUUUUGGUUUUUAAUUUGAUAAAAUACUUAAGCACCAUUUUUAACUAAAAUAAAUGUAUUUACUCUUUUUAAAAAAUACUGCUCCUUAGCUGUUUUUUUGUUUUGUCAGUGAAAUAUGAAACAACAAUGAAAAAUUUCCUCAUCGUGUAUCAGGUCACAAAAUAAUUAUUUAAUGGGAUUGAUAACUGAUUUUUUUUUCAGAUUUAAUAACUACUCAGCAUGUUUUUCACAAACGGUCACCGAGCUUAUGCAGAGAAGUUUUUCUAUAAUCCAUGUCUGUUCCCUUGUGUGGACCAAUUAUCAGCAAGACAUAGGGCCUGAAAUCAUAUCACAGAGAAGGCUAUGUAAAGAGAACAAAUUUACUGCCAUAGAAAACAUUUUACUUUGACUAAAAUACUAUGGAAAUAAAGCAUGGUGAACAUAUUUGUAUUUCCA
rnacentral:lncRNA from 1 species